rnacentral:rRNA from 1 species
ACGGGGGGUGCGAGCGUUGUUCGGAAUUAUUGGGCGUAAAGAGCGUGUAGGCGGCUGAAUAAGUCAGAUGUGAAAUCCCUGGGCUUAACCCAGGACGUGCAUUUGAAACUAUUCGGCUAGAGUAGGGGAGAGGAAAGUGGAAUUCCUGGUGUAGCGGUGAAAUGCGUAGAUAUCAGGAGGAACACCGGUGGCGAAGGCGACUAUAUGGCACUAUACUUACGCUGAGACGCGUGAGCGUGGGUAUCAAACAG